GGGGUCUUAGUUCAGUUGAUUAGAACAUUUGAUUUGCAUUCAAAAGAUCGUGAGUUUGAAUCUCACAGGCUCCA
rnacentral:tRNA from 1 species